UCGGGUGAGACCUAGGUCACCUCUCUCUCCUUUCACGUCUCUCUCUCUCUCCCUCGCAUCUCUCCGCGCCGCCGUCGACGUGAGGAGCGCCAUCUCCAUCCCGCGUUUUUCCUCCUUCGUCCUCCCCUUCUGCAGCGCAAGCCACGACCUCUCCUGUGUGCUCUGUUUUCCUCCCCGUCGGGACCAGGCAGAGGAGGAGCGGUGCGAGCCACGGAGAUGACGAGGUGGUCGAGCUUCCUGUGGCGCCAUCGCCGUACCUCACGGCCCAGCUAGAGGUGUGUCGGCCGCGGAGAUGACAGAGGUCUCAUCCGCUCGCUCUCUCGCCGCCAUAAGAGGAGUGCGCACAGGGGGAGUGGCGGGUCAAGAUCCGGAGACGGCGGGGCGGCGACCAUUCCCGUGAGGCCCGGCGGCGAGCAGAGCUCCUAUUGCUGAGCGUCGAGGGGCCGAAGGGCGCUCCGGAUCCGGAUCCGGGCGAGGUGGCAGCCAUGGCCGAGCUCGAGCUGCUUGGCGUCCCCGAGGGCGCCUCCUUCGACGAGAUCCUGCGCACCCCGUCCUCGCCUCCUGCAAGGAUGACCCAGAUGCCGUCGCCCAGAAGUUGCUAAUUUAGGAGAAGAAGUCGCCUCCAUCAAAUUGGAAAUGCAUGAAUGGCGACGUAUGUAUGAUGCAUCUUACUUUCUCAUGCCCAGACGCAAAAUUAAUCUACUUCCGUACACAGGAAGAAAAGUGAAGACCUGAUCAUCAGUAAUUUGGGCAAUUUGGUGCAUAGUUGUUCGCAUGUGAUGAAUCCAGUCUGUUACAAUAGUCUACUUUUGGCAUUAGGUGCGUUAGCUUAUAGUGGUAGCGCGAUUUGAGGAGGAGGAGCGAGGUCGAAAGAUGGCAGCCAGUCCGACCACGUCCUCUCUUCAUCCCUUUCUCCCUUUCGAUCUUGGAUUUGAUAUGGACGCCGUUGUCGCCGUGGUUGCCUCGCCGUCGUGGCUCAGGAGACGAUGCGUCGUCUCGCGACUGGACCGGAAAGGAAAGUGACCAGAGACACAUAUUCUCCUCUCCUUGGCAGUGACGCAGGCCGGCAACGAGGAGGCUUGCAAUGGUGUGUGCCUAACAGAACAUAGAAGACAAAACAGAGAAGAGAGACUACAUGUUCUUGCAAGAUGCAGUCGUGCUGCUGAUAGAAACAAUUUUAUCUCAAGUUUCUUCAUCCGACGAAGGAUUUAUAGUGGAUGCACAUCAAUCUGGGAGGAAUUAUCAGGCACACGACCAACGAGCGGUGACAGAAGCAACUUCUCCAUUAGACUAGACAGAAGCAACUUCUCCAUUAGACUACAUGACAGGUAAGAUUAAGACCUUCAUAGGUGAAAAGAAGUCUAUGUGAUAUUGUUUUCUUCCAUUUCUGUGAAGCGCCUUACCUAGAACCGCAGUCGUUUUGUGGUGAGAAACCAUUUAUUUCUCCUUUUAUCAUCUUGAUGAUUGUUUCUAAUACAUUUAAUUUAAGAGAAACAUGGACAUAAAGCUACAUGGGAACACUUGAUCCUAAACAGAUUUUUUUUAACGGAAUGUAUAUGUUCUCAAAUGGAGGGAAUGAAAAUCUCAAAUAGAUGAAAUCUAGAGAUCAAAAUAAUGACCGGAUGUGGUCUCCAUUCCGUUUGGUGAGAAGUGAGACUUUGUUCCUUCCGGUUUGGAAAAAAGCUACUGGUCAAUCCUUAUUUAUCGGUGUUGCUGUCAACGGCAAUAUCCUGGCCUGGCGAGGAAAUAUGUAUGAUUUUGCGAACAUUUCUGUUGUUCCGUGUAACUCAUUGGUGUUUUUUCUGGUCUAUCGUCAACACCGGUGUUGUUCUAUUCGGAUACGUUGGUGCGGUGUGUGUACGUCAUGGGCAUGCGGUUUCUAUUGUUUGCUAUUGUUGUAUAGCCAUAAGUAGGAGAGCUGAGUUUAGCUGUGUUUCGUGCAAUGGAGCUGUCUACUCCUGCCAAUGGCAACCUUAUGGGCCGGCAAGGUAAACUUUUAUCAGUUUGCAAGCAGUUCUGGUGUUAAUGAUCUGCUAUUCUUUGUAACACCAAUGGUAGGUUUUUUGUCUGUCAAUGGUAUUGAUGUUGUUUCUAUUCAGGUGUGUCGACGUAGUGGGCAUGUCGUUCGUGUCAUUUUGCAAACAUUUCUGGUACUAUUGAAUCUACUAUUCAGCCAAUAGCAUUACUGUAGCUUGGUAAGGGAAAAAAAUGUUGUUUUGCAAAAUUUCUGCUAUUAAUGAUCUGCUAUUCUACAUGACCCUAAUGUCAGUUUUUCUACUCAGUCGACGGCAUUGAUGUUUCUAUUCGGAUGUGUCAGUGUCUACGCCAUGGGGCACGCGUUUUAAGUUGUUUGCCCUGCCCUAUAUCCAUAUGUAGAAGAGUCAAGUUUAGUAAUGAAAUUAUCAGUUUUCCUGCCAAUGGUUUAUGGCCUGGGAAGGAAAACUUUAUCGUUUUGUCAAUUUAUUUGUUGACUUGCUUCCGAUGCUCUUAGCAUAUUUUUUGGCAUUGCUUAUGUGUAUCAAGUAUCAUCAUGCACAAAGUUAAAUAGUUUUAUAAAUUUCUAAUUUCCUGAUCAGCGCUUUUUCUGCAUAUUUCAAUGUUGGUUCUCAGAAAGUGAAGCUCGCCUGCAUGCACUUCCGCCAGUUCUAUGAGGCAAUAUGCAAAGAAGGGUCAGUACUCAGUAAUUAUUCUCCACUCUCUAUUGUUCAAUUUUUUUAUGUAAACCCGCCAGCUUAUUUUGUAUUGUAUGGCCCUAUAUUUAGCUCAUACCAAUAAGUAUUAUAAAGAAUGGACCUGUUGUUCACUUCAUCUGCAAUCACGUGAUUGGUAGAACUUGGUUCGUUAUCUUAAUACGCCUCCUAUAACUUGUGGUUUCUAGACUUCUGCUUAUACCAUGACUGAGUUCUGCAAAAGAGAGAAAAUAAUGUUUGUUCCUCUCUUAUUCAAGUUAAUACGAUGUACUGGAGAUUACUGUAAGACAUUUUGAAAGAAGGACCUAUUUGUUUAAGAGAAAACCAGCGGCAAUCCAGCGGUGCUGGCUGCUGGUUUUUGAACCCCUGGUUCUAUCCAACAUCAUUGACAAAUGAGCCUUUCUAACAUAUUUCUACAUUCACAUUCGUCAACUUAUUAUGGAAUAUGGUUUUCUGACCUGCGCAUCAAAGCUUAUGAAGGCAACUUAAAAAUUGUAAUACUUGCAGAUGCGUUCAGACCUUGAUGAUUGGCUUCAUACCAUCACAUUGUUGUCUUAUCUUACAGUUAUGUACAAUAUAUAACUGCGCCUGCCAGAAAGCAUGUUCUUAAAAAGCAUGUUCUAGAUUCUUCUCUUUGGAUUUGAGUUAAGUUUUAUCUCCUGGCCCUUUUUCGUUUUGAUUGUUUCAUGGUAUCAAAGAAAACCAUUGAAUUUUUUGAUGGGGAAGGUACAGAGUAUGAAUGUUCCAGUCUAUGAUGGAGGAAUUUUUCUGUGCAACCAUCUGACCAAGAAGUAGUGCUUCCACAGAAACUUUUUGACCUUUCGUCUAAGUGUACUGAUUUUAUACAUAGAGUUAAAUCUGGCACGACACUAUUCCUGUACGAUGUUGAGCACUGUAAGCUUCAUGGGGUAUUUGAAGCAACUUCAGAUGGAGCCAUGAAUAUCAUUCCUGAUGCAUAUGCAUCGUCAGUGUUUUGGUAUCCUUAUCUGGUAUGAAUAUGUUUUAGACAUACCAAGCAUAGUUAUCUAUCCAUUUAUUCCAGGGUCUAUGAAAUUUGUCAGUGACAUGUCGUUAAUAACACAACUGGAGCAUCUAUCCUCCACUUAUUCCAUAUUUCACGCUAAUUUGUACCUUUCAGAUGGUAAAAGGAAACUGUCAGCAAUUUUCUGUAAUGCUUUGAAAUUUGCCCUUCCUGGCAUAUUAUGGGAGACAAACUAAUACUUUUCCUGCUGUGUUCACUAAAUACAUAAAUGCUUAAGGAUUUGGUUUUGCAAGCCUUUGAUGGAAAGUGAAUUUGAAGAUGCAGUACAUGAUAAUUAUUGCUUCAUACAAAACAAGUUUAGUUACGGUUUGACACAUCAACAGGUCUGUUUCACAGUCUUCUGGUGUUAUGUUAAUUUACGUUAGCUAUUGAUCCCAGGGUGUUCGUUUGAUACAGGUUGUAAAGCAGCAUGUUUUAUUAUUUUAGUUAGCAUUAAGCUAAUCACAAACCACAAAAAAUACACACACGCGCCCUUAAAGAAUCACAUCUAUAUAUGUUCCGCUCUUUACUGAAUCUUGAUGUUACAUAUUGAACCUUAUGUAUAUUCUCCUUGCAUCUAAAUUGUUGAUUUCUACUCAAUAUUGUGUGUAUAUGUCCAUCUGUGCAUAAUAUGUGGCCCAAAUGAUGUGAUAUUGUUCUUUUAGCCAUGAACCAAUUUAUGUAGCGAGGCCGACGAUUUGACUGUAACAUUUUUUCUCCUCUGGUUGAAUACUGUUUUAUAGCUCCUAAGUAAUGUAUUGUCGAAGCCGGCCGGGAAAAUAUGUUGUGUCUUAAGAUAAUUAUAAAAUAAUUGAAUAUAUCAAAAUGAUAAUGACAUUGGAUUAACUUUAGAGGAAUAUGACAGAAGGUUUAACCUUCAAUAUUGUAGGUUUUCCUGAUUGUCUGGCACCUUAUUAGGAGACGACGACCGCUACCAUGAAUAGGUUUAAAUUCCGCAUUGCUUCCAUUGGACAAAUCAUGAUAGAAAACAAAUGUUCAUAAACUUAUAAAAUAAACUACUGCUGCCUUGUUGUUUUUAUCGAGGAUGUUUUCUUUAAGCAUAUGCUAAUCACACACUAUCUUCUAUUUCACUUAGAUUAUUCCUAGGGCUCCAGGGAUAACCACAUUAUUUUCACUUACAUGUUCCUGAUUCCUUCGUCGUCUCGCAGCUGGAUCGGUGGGUGGCGACACGUUCGCUGUUUGGUCGAGCCGUCCACAGCGCUGUUGCUGCCGUCCAGGAUGAGCUGCUCAGCCUGCUACUCCACGAGACUCCCUAGCAGCAGCUGAAGAGAGGUUCCAUUGGAACAAGCACCCAUGGUUGUUGUCGCCGUUAGCACCGUCCCUUAACUGCGACCCUUUAGACCCUUUGCUGAUCCAGCUCCCAGAAGGCCAAUGCCUGGGGAAGGGAAGUGGUUUCUCUCUGUCGAGGAGGACAAGCAGAGAUAGAGGAGGCAAAUGUGAUAUGCUUGGCAUUAUGCUGUGAGGAUAGAGGGCCAUGGAUCUGGAUGUGGAGAUUGUGAAAGUCCAUGUGACGUUCGAAUCAAGAUGAGCGGCCGUUCCUGCUGACAUUGUGUAAACUAGAUGAAUUUUAGGCGCUCUUUUGUCAGAGACCGCUUGAUGGUUUGGUUGGGACUGCUACCGCAGCAUCGCCGGCGCCCUUCAGUACCUGACGAUCACGCGUCCGGAGAUCGCAUAUGUCGUCCAGCAGAUCUUCCUGCACAUGCACGAUCCCCGCGAGUGCCAUCUCGGGUUGAUCAAGUGUGUGCUCCGGUACGUGCGCGGCACGCCCGCGCUCGGUCUUCAUCUUCGCGCGUCGCGUGUGCUGGACCUGCGAGCGUUCACGGAUGUCGACUGGGCCGGUUGCCCUGACACCAGGCGCUCCACCUCCGACUUCUGCGUCUACCUCUGCGACGCCCUCGUCUCUUGGUCUUCGAAGCGUCAGGCAAUCGUCUCACGCUCCAGUGCCGAGGCCGAGUACCGUGGCAUCGCGAACGCCGUCGCCGAGUGUGUUUGGUGAGCUGUUCUCUCCCAUCGACAAGGCCACGCUGGUGUAUUGCGAUAACGUCUCCGCCGUCUACCUGUCUGCCAACCCCAUACAUCAUCGCCGGACAAAGCACGUCGAGCUGGAUAUUCUCUUCGUUCGCGAGCGUGUGGCGCUUGGCGAAUUAUGGGUCCUUCACAUCCCCACACGGCAGCAGCUCGCGGAUAUCAUGAUGAAAGGGCUGUCGUCCGAGGUCUUCUCCAACUUCCGGUCCAGUCUUUUCGUCGCCGCCACCGACGUCACGACUGCGUGGGGGGUGUUAGCCAGGGUAGUUAUGGAGUCUGUAUUCUUGUAUUGUAUACGGCUUAGGUAGCUUUGACCGUGCAGCAGUUUUGUUGAGUAGUGCUGCACGUCGCUCGGUAGUGGCACACCCACGAUCCCGCUCGGCUGCGGCCAGCGCCCUGUAUAACUCUGCAGCCUCGAGCAUAAUCGAUGUGUGUUGAAUCCCA